AGGUUCAGGCUGCCAGC
rnacentral:misc_RNA from 1 species